GAUGAAGAACGGAGCGAAAUGCGAUAAGUAAUGUGAAUUGCAGAAUUCAGUGAAUCAUCGAAUCUUUGAACGCACCUUGCGCUCCUUGGUAUUCCGAGGAGCAUGCCUGUUUGAGUGUCAUGAAAUUCUCAACCUUUUCAGCUUUCUUUGUUGAUCAGGCUUGGAUGUGGGAGUAUGCGGGCUUCUCAGAAGUCGGCUCUCCUGAAAUGCAUUAGCGGGACCUUUGUUGCCUGGCUUUGGUGUGAUAAUUAUCUACGCCAUUGUAGUCAAGCAGCUUAAAAUGAGGUUUCAGCUUCUAACCGUCUCCCCUGAGACAACUUUUUGACAAUUUGACCUCAAAUCAGUUAGGACUACCCGCUGAACUUAAGCAUAUCAAAAGCGGAGGA
rnacentral:misc_RNA from 1 species